UACGAAGGGGGCUAGCGUUGCUCGGAAUCACUGGGCGUAAAGCGCACGUAGGCGGAUCUUUAAGUCAGGGGGUGAAACUCCCAAGGCUCAACCUUGGAACUGCCUUUGAUACUGGGGAUCUCGAGUCCGGAAGAGGUUGGUGGAACUGCGAGUGUAGAGGUGAAAUUCGUAGAUACUUCGCAAGAACACCAGUGGCGAAG
rnacentral:rRNA from 1 species